GAUGAACGCUGGCGGCGUGCCUAAUACAUGCAAGUCGAGCGAACGGACGAGAAGCUUGCUUUUCUGAUGUUAGCGGCGGACGGGUGAGUAACACGUGGAUAACCUACCUAUAGGACUGGGAUAACUUCGGGAAACCGGAGCUAAUACCGGAUAAUAUUUUGAACCGCAUGGUUCAUAAGUGAAAGACGGUCUUGCUGUCACUUAUAGAUGGAUCCGCGCUGCAUUAGCUAGUUGGUAAGGUAACGGCUUACCAAGGCAACGAUGCAUAGCCGACCUGAGAGGGUGAUCGGCCACACUGGAACUGAGACACGGUCCAGACUCCUACGGGAGGCAGCAGUAGGGAAUCUUCCGCAAUGGGCGAAAGCCUGACGGAGCAACGCCGCGUGAGUGAUGAAGGUCUUCGGAUCGUAAAACUCUGUUAUUAGGGAAGAACAUAUGUGUAAGUAACUGUGCACAUCUUGACGGUACCUAAUCAGAAAGCCACGGCUAACUACGUG
rnacentral:rRNA from 1 species